rnacentral:rRNA from 1 species
AUUGAACGCUGGCGGCAGGCCUAACACAUGCAAGUCGAGCGGAUGAAGGGAGCUUGCUCCUGGAUUCAGCGGCGGACGGGUGAGUAAUGCCUAGGAAUCUGCCUGGUAGUGGGGAUAACGUCCGGAAACGGGCGCUAAUACCGCAUACGUCCUGAGGGAGAAAGUGGGGGAUCUUCGGACCUCACGCUAUCAGAUGAGCCUAGGUCGGAUUAGCUAGUUGGUGGGGUAAAGGCCUACCAAGGCGACGAUCCGUAACUGGUCUGAGAGGAUGAUCAGUCACACUGGAACUGAGACACGGUCCAGACUCCUACGGGAGGCAGCAGUGGGGAAUAUUGGACAAUGGGCGAAGGCCUGAUCCAGCCAUGCCGCGUGUGUGAAGAAGGUCUUCGGAUUGUAAAGCACUUUAAGUUGGGAGGAAGGGCAGUAAGUUAAUACCUUGCUGUUUUGACGUUACCAACAGAAUAAGCACCGGCUAACUUCGUG